rnacentral:miRNA from 1 species
GGAAGUUGUUGGUUGUGGGUGGAGUGGAAAGAUUUGAUACAUGUAUUUUAUUUUUUUCAAAUCAAAAUGGAAAAGAGAUUAAAUCUUUCCUACUCCUCCCAUACCCAUGACUUCC